CUUUUAAUAUUCAUCAAGUUUGACCUCAAAUCAGGUAGGAUUACCCGCUGAACUUAAGCAUAUCAAUAAGCGGAGGAAAAGAAACCAACUGGGAUUACCUUAGUAACGGCGAGUGAAGCGGUAAAAGCUCAAAUUUGAAAUCUGGUACUUUCAGUGCCCGAGUUGUAAUUUGUAGAAUUUGUCUUUGAUUAGGUCCUUGUCUAUGUUCCUUGGAACAGGACGUCAUAGAGGGUGAGAAUCCCGUUUGGCGAGGAUACCUUUUCUCUGUAAGACUUUUUCGAAGAGUCGAGUUGUUUGGGAAUGCAGCUCAAAGUGGGUGGUAAAUUCCAUCUAAAGCUAAAUAUUGGCGAGAGACCGAUAGCGAACAAGUACAGUGAUGGAAAGAUGAAAAGAACUUUGAAAAGAGAGUGAAAAAGUACGUGAAAUUGUUGAAAGGGAAGGGCAUUUGAUCAGACAUGGUGUUUUUUUAAUGUGCAAGUCUCUCGUGGACAUGUGCCUCUGGAAAUUAACACUGGGCCAACAUCAGUUCUGGCGGCAGGAUAAAUCAUUAAGAAUGUAGCUACCUCGGUAGUGUUAUAGCUUUUUGGAAUACUGCCAGCUGGGAUUGAGGA
rnacentral:rRNA from 1 species